rnacentral:rRNA from 1 species
UACGGAGGGUGCAAGCGUUGUCCGGAAUCACUGGGCGUAAAGGGCGCGUAGGCGGCUCAUGAAGGCUGUGGUGAAAGUCCGGGGCUCAACCUCGGAUCGGCCGUGGCGACUCGUGGGCUGGAGCACUGUAGAGGCGGGUGGAAUUCCGGGUGUAGCGGUGGAAUGCGUAGAGAUCCGGAAGAACACCGGUGGCGAAGGCGGGUCUCUGGGCCGAUAUUGACGCUGAGGAGCGAAAGCGUGGGGAGCAAACAGG